rnacentral:rRNA from 1 species
ACGAGGGGUGCAAGCGUUAUUCGGAGUUAUUGGGCGUAAAGGGUGCGUAGACGGCACAUUAAGUCAACUGUUAAAUUCCCUGGCCUAACUAGGGGCAAGCAGUAGAUACUGGUGAGCUUGAGGUCGGUAGAGGGGGGUGGAAUUGCUGGUGUAGCGGUGAAAUGCGUAGAGAUCAGCAGGAACACCCGUGGCGAAGGCGGCCCCCUGGGCCGUACCUGACGCUGAGGCGCGAAGGCUAGGGGAGCGAACGGGA